UACGUAGGGUGCGAGCGUUGUCCGGAAUUAUUGGGCGUAAAGAGCUCGUAGGCGGUCUGUCGCGUCUGCCGUGAAAACCCGAGGCUCAACCUCGGGCCUGCAGUGGGUACGGGCAGACUAGAGUGCGGUAGGGGAGAAUGGAACUCCUGGUGUAGCGGUGGAAUGCGCAGAUAUCAGGAAGAACACCCGUGGCUAAGGCGGCUCUCUAGUACGGUACUGACGCUGAGACGCGAAAGCGUGGGGAGCGAACAGG
rnacentral:rRNA from 1 species